rnacentral:rRNA from 1 species
UACGUAGGGUCCGAGCGUUGUCCGGAAUUACUGGGCGUAAAGAGCUCGUAGGUGGUUUGUCGCGUUGUUCGUGAAAACUCACAGCUUAACUGUGGGCGUGCGGGCGAUACGGGGCAGACUUGAGUACUGCAGGGGAGACUGGAAUCCUGGUGUAGCGGUGGAAUGCGCAGAUAUCAGGGAGGAACACCGGUGGCGAAGGCGGACGUCUCGUGGCAGUAACUGACGCUGGAGGAGCGAAAGCGUGGGGAGCGAACAGG